UACUUCCUGGUGGACGAGGCUGCUCCUCGCUUGGUGUUGUCGUAGUAAAGAGUAGAGGGGGCAGCUGAAGUCACAGUAGGCACGGCUGACUGAGGCUCGGCUGUCGAAAACAACCAUUUGGUUACUUAGUUUGGAAGAGUUUAUCACACGUUUUUGUUUUGCUUUUUUUAAAAACAACGAGGAGAAAAUGGGAAGCACGUUGAUGGAGUCCAGCAAGGCGAGCCCAAAGAAAAUGCCAAAAAAGAAGAAAGGUCUCCGGAUUAACAUGCCAGACUUUGGUGAUUUUACUGCCCCUAAAUUGGAGACCAGUGCCUCAACCAAAAGUGGCCUUCAGAAGGGGGAUCGUCUCAUCCGCUCAGCCAGCCCCACAAAAGGGGUUUCUGCAAAGAACCCGGCCAGUAUCCCCUCAACGCCCCACUCUGCUCCGGUGUCAUCAAAGGCCGUUUCAACGUCACCCAAAACCAUUUUCCCCUAUCCCUCCCAUCAGAACGCCUCGCCCAAGUCCCCCCAUCGCCUCAGCUUCAGUGGCAUCUUCCGGUCCAAUUCCACAUCGACGAGCAUCAAAAUUUUCUCCAGAACCAGGAGAGCUUCUGGGCACGCCACACCUCCCACCACUCCAACCCAGGCAUUGAGCCAACCUGUGUUCAGCCAGGAGGCCCAGCAGCAAAGCGGCCCCAGCCCAGAACGCCUGGAGCCCGGUAUCCGAGCCCGCUUCCUGUUCACGCCCCCGGACACAGGACAGCGCCUCAGCCUUCCCUACACCAAGCCCCCGAUCCCAUCAACCAGUCCUGUGCCACCCAUCUCUACCUCACAACAUGUCUACGGCUUAUUCGAAGGUAUGCUGGAGAAACUUGAACUAGAUGAUGAUGCUGCUGAACCCGAGAGUGAUAUUUACAUGCGCUUUAUGAAAUCCCACAAGUGCUACGACAUCGUCCCCACAAGCUCCAAGCUGGUCGUGUUUGACACAGCGCUUCAAGUUAAGAAGGCAUUCUUUGCCUUGGUGGCUAACGGUGUGCGAGCUGCUCCUCUAUGGGACACAGAGAAGCAAAGCUUUGUGGGAAUGCUGACAAUCACAGAUUUCAUCAUCAUUCUGCACAGAUACUAUAAGUCGCCAAUGGUGCAAAUUUAUGAGUUGGAGGAACACAAGCUUGAAACAUGGAGAGAGGUUUAUCUUCAAGCAACGUUUAAACCUCUUGUGAACAUAUCACCAGAUGCAAGUCUGUUUGAUGCAGUGUACACCCUCAUCAAAAAUAAAAUUCACCGCCUGCCUGUCAUCGACCCUGUUACAGGGAAUGCACUUUAUAUUCUCACACACAAGAGGAUCCUAAAGUUCCUCCAACUGUUUGUGUGUGAAAUGCCAAAGCCAGCGUUCAUGAAGCAGACUCUAGGUGAGCUCGGCAUCGGGACGUACCAUGAAAUCGCUUUCAUCCACCCAGACACGCCUAUUAUUAAAGCCCUCAACAUCUUCGUGGAGAGACGGGUGUCUGCUUUGCCUGUGGUGGAUGACUCAGGCAAAGUUGUGGAUAUUUAUUCCAAGUUUGAUGUGAUUAACUUGGCCGCAGAGAAGACGUACAAUAACCUGGACAUCACAGUGACGCAGGCUCUGAAACAUCGCUCGCAGUACUUCGAAGGAGUUGUUAAGUGCCACAAAAUGGAAACAAUGGAGACCAUUGUGGACAGAAUAGUCAAAGCAGAAGUUCAUCGGCUGGUGGUGGUUGAUGAGCGCUCCAGUAUCGAGGGCAUCGUUUCCCUUUCAGACAUCCUCCAGGCACUGGUGCUCAGCCCAGCAGGUAUAGAUGCUCAGCAUUGGUAGCUCUAAUCCCCCCCCUUCUCUCUCAAUGACCCGGACACUGAGCUUCCCCUACCCACCAAUCCUCUAACCCUGCCCCAGAUGCCUGUAAGGAGGAGAAUCUUACUGAAUGAGUUUGUGGUGCAUCAGCUUUUGUAAUGGAAGUGAGUGAACGUACAGUUAAAGGUUGAUCGUGUGAAGCCGGUGUGGAAGUCCUGGAGACCGUCACCAUCAGCGGGACUGUAGAGCGGCUCUGAAAGGCCUGAUGCAGCUGAGUGAAGUGGAUUUUGGUUUUUUUUUUGUUUUUUUUGCACUGAGGAAUGAGUUUUCUUUUUUUCUUCCAGUUUGUUUAAACACUGAUCAGAUGCAUUAAAGAUAUAUUAUAAAAGUAUAUGCAAACACAUACAGAUGAAUACCAUAUGGGGAAGUGGAGGGUGUUUUCUGAUGGAUCUGGGCUUUAACUAGUUACAGUCAUGUAGCUCUCAUCAGAUUUAAAGUCACAUUUCAUACUUCAGUAUCUGUAAAGCAACUCGUUUCAGUUGUAAAGCUAUAUUUCUACCCACAGAGAUUGGACGACUGCUGUCAUUAGGAGAAUAAUGGCCAGGGCCAACAUAACAUCGCUCAAUGCCCAAUUAUUCGUGCCUUUUUGCGUCCCUCGCACCCCACUUCACUGUGGUCCUUUUGAGUUUACGGUUUCAAAUGAAAGCUGUAGUUUCAGCAUGUUGCUGCAAUAAAGAAAAACACAGCUGACAUUUUCAACCCCACGCACCAGAGGCUGUCUUUCGUUUAGUUGGGUUAUUAAAAAACUUGCUCGAAUGAAAGGAUUUCUGGAAGAUCAGACAAGAAGAGGAAGCAUAACAUUUUUGGAGCAUUGGUUUGGUUUCUCGAGGUCGGCAUGACUUCAGAGUGCUUUUUUUUUUUUUUUUGGAAAUAUAAGAUUAAAAAUGUAUUUUUAGGGGUUUAAAGACAUUUUUACAGUGUAUCCCCAGUUGUUUGGAGGCUUCACACAAACAUGUGGAGCUGCUUGUGUGUUUCAUCUGGAUUUUAACAGGACUCAUCUCCAUCUUCUGUAAAUGAGAUUGUUCUCAGAAACCAUGUCACAGAAAGCUUUAUUUUUAUGAAUGUGUUAAGUCGAAAGAUAGUUCAGUUUUAAUGUUAUUUUUGUAAAUAUAUUGUGGCAAUAUGUCUAAUUCAGAGAAACUUUGUAUUGAAUCAACAUGUACUGUAAAUGUGCAAAGCAUGACAAACUACACUUCAGCAGAAUGAAUGUUCUUUGUUUUACUUUUUCUAUUUUUCUGGCUGCAGAAAAAUAAACAGACACUGAAUGUACUCUAAA